UUAAAUUGAAGAGUUUGAUCAUGGCUCAGAUUGAACGCUGGCGGCAGGCCUAACACAUGCAAGUCGAACGGUAACAGGAAGCAGCUUGCUGCUUCGCUGACGAGUGGCGGACGGGUGAGUAAUGUCUGGGAAACUGCCUGAUGGAGGGGGAUAACUACUGGAAACGGUGGCUAAUACCGCAUAACGUCGCAAGACCAAAGAGGGGGACCUUCGGGCCUCUUGCCAUCAGAUGUGCCCAGAUGGGAUUAGCUUGUUGGUGAGGUAACGGCUCACCAAGGCGACGAUCCCUAGCUGGUCUGAGAGGAUGACCAGCCACACUGGAACUGAGACACGGUCCAGACUCCUACGGGAGGCAGCAGUGGGGAAUAUUGCACAAUGGGCGCAAGCCUGAUGCAGCCAUGCCGCGUGUAUGAAGAAGGCCUUCGGGUUGUAAAGUACUUUCAGCGGGGAGGAAGGUGUUGUGGUUAAUAACCACAGCAAUUGACGUUACCCGCAGAAGAAGCACCGGCUAACUCCGUGCCAGCAGCCGCGGUAAUACGGAGGGUGCAAGCGUUAAUCGGAAUUACUGGGCGUAAAGCGCACGCAGGCGGUCUGUCAAGUCGGAUGUGAAAUCCCCGGGCUCAACCUGGGAACUGCAUUCGAAACUGGCAGGCUUGAGUCUUGUAGAGGGGGGUAGAAUUCCAGGUGUAGCGGUGAAAUGCGUAGAGAUCUGGAGGAAUACCGGUGGCGAAGGCGGCCCCCUGGACAAAGACUGACGCUCAGGUGCGAAAGCGUGGGGAGCAAACAGGAUUAGAUACCCUGGUAGUCCACGCCGUAAACGAUGUCUACUUGGAGGUUGUGCCCUUGAGGCGUGGCUUCCGGAGCUAACGCGUUAAGUAGACCGCCUGGGGAGUACGGCCGCAAGGUUAAAACUCAAAUGAAUUGACGGGGGCCCGCACAAGCGGUGGAGCAUGUGGUUUAAUUCGAUGCAACGCGAAGAACCUUACCUGGUCUUGACAUCCACAGAAUUCUGCAGAGAUGCGGAAGUGCCUUCGGGAACUGUGAGACAGGUGCUGCAUGGCUGUCGUCAGCUCGUGUUGUGAAAUGUUGGGUUAAGUCCCGCAACGAGCGCAACCCUUAUCCUUUGUUGCCAGCGGUCCGGCCGGGAACUCAAAGGAGACUGCCAGUGAUAAACUGGAGGAAGGUGGGGAUGACGUCAAGUCAUCAUGGCCCUUACGACCAGGGCUACACACGUGCUACAAUGGCGCAUACAAAGAGAAGCGACCUCGCGAGAGCAAGCGGACCUCAUAAAGUGCGUCGUAGUCCGGAUUGGAGUCUGCAACUCGACUCCAUGAAGUCGGAAUCGCUAGUAAUCGUGGAUCAGAAUGCCACGGUGAAUACGUUCCCGGGCCUUGUACACACCGCCCGUCACACCAUGGGAGUGGGUUGCAAAAGAAGUAGGUAGCUUAACCUUCGGGAGGGCGCUUACCACUUUGUGAUUCAUGACUGGGGUGAAGUCGUAACAAGGUAACCGUAGGGGAACCUGCGGUUGGAUCACCUCCUUACCUUAAAGAAGC
rnacentral:rRNA from 1 species